CAUGCAGAUGCUGAGCGUGGGUCCCCGCAGAGCCGUGAAGAUUGAUCCUAGUACACAGACCACCAGGAGGUCACCGUCCCCACCCCUCAGAAGGCCCUGCACCCCUAACCCAUAAACACCCCCUAACCCGCCCUGGGGAGGUCGACUGGGGGCUUGGGACCCCUUUUCCAUGCUUGAACGCCUUUGGAACACAUAACUCUGCCAAAUUCAACACUUCAGUGAGAGGCACACCACACAGCAGGCAGGAGGGGACUGGUUCAGUCACAGCUGCAGGGAAGACAGGGACAGGGACAGGGAGUGGGAUCAGUAAGUUGUGUGCAGGUUCUUGAAGGAUCAGCCCGGCAGAGUCCUGAUUCUGUGAGAGUCAAGCCAAAAUGGCUCCAUUUUGUUUUGUGACUCCAUUCUGUAAAACAACCAGGCCAAGUAGAAGGGUCCUGACUGGGGCAAGAUGUUCUUUUCCUUUUGCUAUAGAAACCAGAACACAGAACUACAUAAUGGGGCACUGUUUCUGUAACUAGGGAAACGGGGCUCUGUUUCUGAAACUGGGGUGACUGGGCUAACUGUGGUUGACUAAGCGUCCCUUUGCCUACUGCACUGUCCCGCUUCUGUAACUUGGCUGGCUUGCAUUUGGACCCCUAAAUGUCCCUUUUGCGGUUUUCAGGCUUAUAAGGAGCGCCCUUGCAAUUGUUUGGGGCUGAUCAGGGGAACAGUCAGCCGCCACCAGAGUGCUUCAAUAAAGGCUUGAUUCGAUUAUACGUGAGUGGUCUGGAAGUCAGUUUAUGACACCCCGGGAAGGGACUUUAACUGCAACAAUACCACAGAAAUGGACGAUAAAGCCAGGAGAUGGUGGGCAGGGAUGGGGACAUGCAGCCAAGACUGAGGAGGAAUCACAGGUUAGUAAUGACAAAGCCUGGGGCAGGGCUAGAAAGUUCCAGUAGAACCACCUGUGAUGUUGGAAAUAACCUCAUCUACAGCAGCCAAAACGGCAGCAUGGAGCCACUCGCACUUGAAACUGUAGCUGGUACAACUAAGAAGCCAAAUGUUUACCUAUCCUUAACUGUAAUUUGGCUAAACCUCAAUAGCCCCAAGUGGCUGGUGACUACCAUACUGGGCAGAGCAGGUCUGGGUUCUUAUGCACCAUUUGGAUGUGGGGUUUGGGGAUGAGGAGGGAGGGUCUUUGAAAGAGAGGGAUUCAGGGAACUAGAAAAAUCCUGGCUGGAAGAGUCAACUGUAUGUACUGAAGUCACAAGGGAUUAAGCUGGAUCCCUGAUGGAGAGAGACCCUGAGCCAGGAGACAAAGUCACGGAGAAAUGGGGCGUCAGGAGAGAACGGCAAUAAGAGGAAGAGAAGCGGGGAGUCUGUCGACAGGAGCCUCAGAGCUGAGCAGGUUGGGCAGCUCCAGGACGGAAGGUAUAAGUAAGCUAAAGAGCUCAAGAUGAGAAAUCCCUGUUGUAGGGCUGGCACUACCCAGGGUCUGGUGCUCUUAGAGAGGAGGUGAGGAGACACAGACAGAAGUUCAUGAAGACGGGGCCAGACACCAGAGUGAUGCUGGCACAUCUGAGGGACACCUGAGGCCACCAGAGGCUGGGAGAGUCACCAGGCUUUUGGCGAUGUGUUACCAGGAAACUGACCAAGCUGACUCAUCAACCCAGCACAAGCCUGCCUGACCAACACCAUCACUUCCAACCCGAAGCACACAGUCAGUCCAGAAGAAUAGCAUAAGGAAAGCUCCAGAGACCCGCCAGUGAGGAUGUGCGUUGGUGACCCCCAUCCCAUGCUCAGCAGAGGAGAUGGUCUGCAGAAAACUCAGGGGCUGGACCCAGCAGCACUUGCCCUGUCACUGGGACCACCGGGCCAGGUCCCAGGACCCUUGGCACAUCGAGUGGGGUGUGAGUCCUUUGGGUAGGGCUGAUAGCACAGCGGGAAGCAGUACCAGCAUUCCGGUAUGUGUCUGGGUGUGUGUGUGUGUGUGUGUGUGUGUGUGUGUGUGUGUGUGUGACAGAUAUAGAUAUAUAUCUGUCUUCCUGAAAUGUCAUAGGGCCAUGUGAGGGCAGCAGCCAUUGUUCUUUAAUGGCCCAACUGCCACCACUAAAAGCCCAGGUCAGGCACUCCUUGCUAGUUAAUGACUCUGCUGAUCCCAUAAGCUAUAAAGGGUUGAUGAUUGAACUCCAUAACCCUUUGGAACUCUUGCAUAAGGGGGAAAAAAAAACACCUUAACCAAACUCAGAGAGCACAUGCCAAGUGAUUCAGGUUUUUUGAAAUGCUUGACCAUGUAAAUAAGAGCCGUUUCUUCACUGUACAAAGAACCUUCACAAACCAGCAAGGAGCCGCCCCAGGUGGGAAGAACCAGCCCUGGAACCCUUAGUGCACACAAAUCGGCCUAUAAGCAUGGGAAAAGACCGUAAACUGCUCGCAAUUAAAGACACUAAGACAAAAAUAAUGAGUUACUUUCAAUAUUGGCAUAUUUUUAAAUUUAAGCAUGGGAAACAGAAGUUUGCUCACUCACUGCGGGCUAGAAUACAAGAACAUCUGAGGAGGGAUUCGGUUCCAUACAUUUUAAGAACACAAAUUAACACUGCUUAAAUCCUUAAAAUAUUGUGGAAAAACCUACCUUCUGGAUCUCUGCAUAAAUCACAAUAAUGUCUGUACAAAAAUAUUCAGGAUAGCAUUAUUUGUAAUAGCAAAUAAGUACAAUCUACCCCCAAGAUGUAUAUAGUACAAGCCUGGAGAUGUCAGUUUAGUAAUGCUAUCUGGGUUUUCAGAAGAAUAAGAAAACUCUGUAGAUGCUCUGUGGAAAGACUCUCCAUGUUGGACAGAUUCACAGAGACAGGAAAAGAGAGGAGGGAGGGGGAGAGAGAGACCACAGGCAUCUGCAGCCCCAGCAGCUCUGGAGAGGCCCCGGGGGGCCCCCAGCUGGGACCUUGGAAGGUUUAGUACCCUAAUAAUGCUUCACCAAGUUAAUUGCCCUUCCCAAGUUUCUCAGGGCAACUCUUCACCAAUUGAUAUGGCCCCGAAUGAGGGAGACAGUGCUACAGCCCAGAACCCCCACAGGUCCCCACAGCUGCCCUGUGCCAGCACACAGGGAACUGGCCUGAUUCACAGAGAUAGGAGGGAGUGGGGCACAGAGGCACCGGAAGGCAAUUAGGAGCCACUGGGCCUGGUGGAACCAGGGCUUUCUGGGCACUGAGGCUGCAUCUUCCCAGGCUCCUCCCCUCCCCUGCCCAGUGGGUCCAGUUCUCUCCACCAGAGGCUUGCUCAAGGUCGCACAGCCGUGGAGCAGAGGGCCAGGGAGCCCUGCCGUUGGAGGCUGCAUGAAAAACCACACAAGCCCCUGGCAGAUCUCACCUCUGUGGCUUUAAGGAACCCAAAACCAAGCCACCCACUGGAAGAUGCCCCCCAAACUUCCACUGCUCUCAUCUUGACCUGAAGAUCCCCAAGAAGCUCUGCCUUGGGAUCCCCGUGACCACAGCUCAGGGGCGUCAGACCCAGCCAGGCAGCAGCCAAAGGAACUGGUUCACCUCAAGCAAAAGCGGCUGGUAGAAGUGUCCAGAUGCACACUCCUUCAGAGGGAAGAGAAGGUCCCUCCAUCCCCAGGGCAGGAUGCGGCUGAGUCUAGAAGUUGGUACCAACAUCUGAACAACGUCAUCCACCAGCCAAGAGUCGGUGGCUCUCAUUGUGACUACAGUUCUUCAAACGCAUUCUAUGCUGAGGCAACAUUUUCCAAAGAAACACCUGCAGGGCCUGAUUAGCUCAGCCAUAACUGAGCCAUCCAGCGGAGUCCUAUGUGCAGGAAGCCACGCUAACUGUGACUGUCACAGUGCCCUAAGACCAAACAUGAAUUAUCUCCUUUAAUUCUCACAACUCUACAAAGUAUUACUUUAUCCCUGUUCAAGAACUGAAGAAUCGCCCCCAAAAAGGUGGAACGCGCUUGGAAAAGGAGGAGAGAGAGAUCACAAAGCCUGGGAUUUUUACCAUCACAACCUCCAAAGCAGCUGCUGACCUAAACUGUCACUAAUCCUCCCAACCACGCGUCCCCCCUUCCCUAGAAUCCUCCUGCCUGGAGCCUCUGUUUGGGCUCACUAUUUCCAGGCCCAGACAUUUUUACAACCUGGGAUCACUUUGUCUUGAAUUUUUAAGAUUCAAUGACUUAUCAGUUGACAAUGAGCAAGAUGACUGUUGUGACAGCUUCAGAGACCAUGCAUCGUGUGUGUGUGUGUGUGUGUGUGUGUGUGUGUGUGUGUGUGUGUGCAUGUGUGGGGGUGCUGGGGAUUAAACCCAGGGCCUUGUGCAUGCAAGGCAGGCCCUCCACCAACUGAGCCAUGACCCCAGAGACCUGCACCUGGAAGCAACAUGCCGUUUACCUCCGGCUUCAUUUCUGUGCAGGAAGCAGAUGGCAAAGCCAGCAGCUGACCAGCAGCAGCACCGUGCUCUAGCCACCAUUGCUGGCUCUGAGACAGGCUCCCAGGACAGGGCAGCUCUUAUGCCCUUCCAGACACCCCAGCCGCUCUGGUCACCGGGCCCUUUGAAGAACAUGUGGAGAGAGCCGAUCCGGAGCUCUGAAGGCGCCAUGCAGGAGCCUGCAGCUGCAGCGAGGGCACAGCCAAGGACAGGAGGCCCAAGUUACAGGGACAUUCGCCAGCCUUGCCUGCAUCUCAUUCAUCUGUUCACAAAACAAUUUUUGCUGGGAAGGGGCCACUUACAUUCUCCCUGGUGAGUCCUCGGCCUGAAGGUCUGCCGUGGCCACCGCCACACCAGCGGCUUUCCUGCGCCCUCUCGAAUACAGUAGAGGCUUUGUUGUGAGAAUUAGCCUCCCAGCCAAGUGCAAAGGCUCGGGAGCCACUGGGUGGAUGGCGAUGCUGUUACCAUGGUUACCAGGCUCGCCCUCCACGGUGGGUCCGUGCACCUCGCCAUGAAAGCUUGGACUGGGGGGGGCGGGGGUGGUGGAAUACAGCUUCAAUUUGAGCCACAUGCUAAUAAGUUGGCCUGUAUGGCCAGUUGCUGAUGUCGAAUAUAAAACAAUCAUUUUGGAAAAGAAAA